GACGAACGCUGGCGGCGUGCUUAACACAUGCAAGUCGAACGGUGAAGCGCCUUCCUUUUUGGUGGGUGUGGAUGAGUGGCGAACGGGUGGGUAACACGUGAGUAACCUGCCCCCUUCUUCUGGAUAACCGCAUGAAAGUGUGGCUAAUACGGGAUAUUCUGGGUCUGUCGCAUGAUGGGUCUGGGAAAGAUAUUGUUUCGGUGGGGGAUGGGCUCGCGGCCUAUCAGCUUGUUGGUGGGGUGAUGGCCUACCAAGGCGGUGACGGGUAGCCGGCCUGAGAGGGUGGACGGUCACACUGGGACUGAGACACGGCCCAGACUCCUACGGGAGGCAGCAGUGGGGAAUAUUGCACAAUGGGCGCAAGCCUGAUGCAGCGACGCCGCGUGAGGGAUGGAGGCCUUCGGGUUGUGAACCUCUUUCGCCAGUGAAGCAGGCCUGCCUCGUUUGUGGGUGGGUUGACGGUAGCUGGAGAAGAAGCGCCGGCUAACUACGUG
rnacentral:rRNA from 1 species